AGAACGAACGCUGGCGGCAGGCCUAACACAUGCAAGUCGAACGCAACUUCGGUUGAGUGGCGCACGGGUGAGUAACGCGUGGGAACCUGUCCUGUGGUACGGAAUAACAUCGGGAAACUGGUGCUAAUACCGUAUAUCCCCUGAGGGGGAAAGAUUUAUCGCCAUAGGAGGGGCCCGCGUAGGAUUAGCUAGUUGGUGAGGUAACGGCUCACCAAGGCGACGAUCCUUAGCUGGUCUGAGAGGAUGAUCAGCCACACUGGGACUGAGACACGGCCCAGACUCCUACGGGAGGCAGCAGUGGGGAAUAUUGGACAAUGGGCGAAAGCCUGAUCCAGCCAUGCCGCGUGUGUGAUGAAGGCCUUCGGGUUGUAAAGCACUUUCACACGUGACGAUGAUGACGGUAACGUGAGAAGAAGCCCGGCUAACUUCGCGCCAGCAGCCGC
rnacentral:rRNA from 1 species